rnacentral:rRNA from 1 species
AGACGUCCUACGGGAGGCAGCAGGUGGGGAAUAUUGCACAAUGGGGGAAACCCUGAUGCAGCGACGCCGCGUGGAGGAAGAAGGUCUUCGGAUUGUAAACUCCUGUUGUUGAGGAAGAUAAUGACGGUACUCAACAAGGAAGUGACGGCUAACUACGUGC